UUUCCCCCUAAUUAUAGACUUUAAAAUAUGAAGUGGUCUUGUUUUUAUCUCAUUAUGUUACAUGGAAUAUAAGUAAAUAAGUUUGCAAAUAGAGCUUUCUAAAAAUACAUUUAACAACAUCUAUCAAAUGUAAUAAAUAAACAAGUUUUUUUUUUCUUUAAGGAAAAGUGUGAGUUUAAACAUCAGGUGUGUUACAUGUCACUAAAUUAUUUAUAACACUGAUAAUGCAUUCUUGAUAUCCAAGGACAAUUAUGGCUAGAAAUAAGAUGCACGUCAUACAUCUGAAAUUCUGGUAACCAAUGACAGUGUUUCAAAAUAGUCUAUACUGUUUCAGCAGAGAAAAAAUCUAAAUAUAAUCAUAAAUCUGAUUAGAAUCUCAUGUAGUUAAGUACACAUAUUUUAAGUAGAUCAUUGCCUGGGAGCUGCAUAUCUCUCCAGCUAAGCAAGUGGAGGCAGAAAGGUCCUUCCUUGGACCAUAGUGUUGAGUCUACUCUAAAAAGAGCAUUGAGCCUUCCACCUGUUCAACGCUUCCUUUCAUUCAAGGAUAUGAGAAAGACUGGAACUGACCCCUCUCCUGAAAAUCAGGGGUUGAUGCAAAUCUAGGACCAGCAUUUGAGGUCAGCUUCUGCGACAGGAGAACAUCUUAAUGUACAGGAUGUGCCAGAAGGUCCCACACAGAAAGAGCAGCCUGACGUAGGUCACGCUUUGCAGAUUUUGUAUCUGUGUAAAUGAAACCGCAAUAGUUUCUUCCAAAACUGUGUGAGAUCCAUAGGCGGAGCAUGAGCACUGCACGCUGCCUAGCUGGAUUAUUUUUUAACAACCUCUGCACCACACACACACACACACACACACACUCUCCUCUCUCUCUCUCUCUCUCUCUCUCUCUCUCUCUCUCUCUCUCUCUCUCUCUCCUUCUCUCUCUUUCCCUUUCAAAAGUAUUUCCCUGGGAACCUGGGUAUUCCUCUGCCCUCGUGCAGGAGACGUGAGUACGUGGUUUGUUGUGAUGGUUCACAAAGGAAUGCUCAAGGGCACACAGCAUUUUCUCCUGAGAGACCCUCUUUAGUGUGUUGGUUAUUUGUUUACAUGAAUUCGUUGGCCCUACAAUAAUGUAAUUAUUACAGAAAUAAACACCCUUGCUUGCAGAGAAGACUAAGCUAUCAUUUUAUACUUUAUGCACAUUUCCAGGUAGGAUAAAAUGGUCAAAUGUAAGCUUUUCCAAAAAUUAUCUGAUGUAUAGCAAUAGCUCCAUCCUACACAGAUCAGAGUGUUGAGCAUUAGGAGCAUUGCUGAGUUCUUUUUUGCAGCAUUUCUACUUGACUGCUUAUAAUAUUGUACUUAAAUAUAUAUAUAUAUAUACACAUAUAUAUGUAAACUUUUGCACUGUGUGACUGUUGAUGUGCCAGAAUCCACAAACAUUUUGGGCUGUAUUGUGAUUUCUUGCAUGCAGUGUGUGAUUAUAAAAAUUAUAAUAUAUUUAUCAUAACUAAUAAAGAAAACCUACUUGUAAAG
rnacentral:lncRNA from 1 species